CACUGAGGAUGAGUUCCCUUAGUGACUGAGUGGUGGUGUUGCUCUCACCUGUGGCUGCUUCAGGCUUGUCUCUGUUGAAGAGAGCUUGCCAAGGUCAAGUCAUCUUUCCAUGUGACCCAUAUCCAGAGAUGGCCACACGAUUCUUUGAACAGGAAAAAGACAAGAAUCGAGAAAGCCACCGAUGAGCUUCAUCUGUUUGAAGGGUUAACAACUUACAUUCAGUGAGAAAAGACUCCUAACACAUAUUUUCAAACAUGAGAGGGCCACAGACACACCAUACCUGCCUUGUUUCUUAUGGGUGAAGAAGGAAGCUAUUGGUACAGCUGGAGAUCACACCCAGAUGUACACUAAUUUAGCAACUCCAGUGCCAAACAAAAAGAAUUCCAGGCCAAUCUCGCCUCACUCCCUGCAGAUCUGCUUUGGCUCAGCUGGGUGUCCAGUGGACUGAGUCACGUAAUUACCCCAUGGGAAACAGAAGAUGGGACUGCAUUUAAAUGCCAAGGACUGAUCCCAUAAGCUCCACUAUUUAUUUUAAUAAAACAUGG